rnacentral:rRNA from 1 species
GACGAACGCUGGCGGCGUGCUUAACACAUGCAAGUCGAACGGAAAGGCCUUUUCGGAGGUACUCGAGUGGCGAACGGGUGCGCAACACGUGGGUGAUCUGCCCUGCACUCUGGGAUAAGCCUGGGAAACUGGGUCUAAUACCGGAUAGGACCGCACUUUAGUGUGUGUGGUGGAAAGUUUUUUCGGUGUAGGAUGAGCCCGCGGCCUAUCAGCUUGUUGGUGGGGUAAUGGCCUACCAAGGCGGCGACGGGUAGCCGGACUGAGAGGUUGGUCGGCCACAUUGGGACUGAGAUACGGCCCAGACUCCUACGGGAGGCAGCAGUGGGGAAUAUUGCACAAUGGGCGCAAGCCUGAUGCAGCGACGCCGCGUGGGGGAUGACGGCCUUCGGGUUGUAAACUCCUUUCGCCAGGGACGAAGCGUUUUGUGACGGUACCUGGAGAAGAAGCACCGGCUAACUACGUG